rnacentral:rRNA from 1 species
UACGGGGGGAGCAAGCGUUGUCCGGAAUCACUGGGCGUAAAGAGCGUGUAGGUGUUCCAAUAAGUCUCUGGUGAAAUCCUUCUGCUUAACGGGAGAAUUGCCGGAGAAACUGUUGGAAUUGAGUUCAGAAGAGGGAAGCGGAAUUCCUGGUGUAGCGGUGAAAUGCGUAGAUAUCAGGAAGAACACCGGUGGCGAAGGCGGCUUCCUGGUCUGAUACUGACACUGUGGCGCGAAAGCGUGGGGAGCAAACAGGAUUAGAUACCCCCGUAGUCC